AGAAAAUUAUGAAGCAAAGAGUGAGUCACGGGUCAGACACUGCCUCAAAUGACGCAUUCACACGGUAUUUGUAGCAUUUGUAUUGUCCAUGCGUUUCCUAAGGUUUAGUCAUUCAUUCUUUAGUUUCCUCUUAUGCUUUGUCACAUCAACUCUCUUCUUUCUUUUGUUUUGUGUUGUGUUGUAUUUUUUUUCUUUUUCCUUUUUCAAUUCAACCUUAUAGAAGUAAUACUCAACAAAGGCAAUUAAAUUAAGGAAAAUUAGUAAAAUGACAUAUAUAAUCAAGAAAUCCGAACUGAUAUGAUUAGUACAAACCGGCCUCUUUACUCUUGGUGCAAAAUAUCUAAUGUGAAGUCCUAAUUUUUUUGAGAUUUUUCACUGCUUAUCUUAAGCUUCUCUGAUCUAAAUGGCUUUUCACAAUUUUCGUUUGCAGGAAAAAGAUGAGAGAGAGUGGGCAUGAUAGAAAUAAGGAAAAGCAAAGGAAAUAAACUUAAAGAAAUUACACACAGAGAAGCAGAUGCGGAGGUAGAGUAUGUCUGUCGGGUUCAUCUGAACCCAAUAUUUUUGUUGCGGUUAAAAAAACUAUCACUAAAUUAAAAAAAAAAAAGGAAAGAAAGAAAAAUAACGACAUAUAAGAAAUGAGAAAGAUAAUUUUUUAAAUUAAUAUGGAUGUAAAAGAUAAUUCUACAUAUUGAUAAAUCAUAUACUUAGCAUUUUAAUUAGAAUUAGAUUUUAGGUUACUGCAUUUUUUCCUGAUUUUGUUUUUAAAAGAAAAGAGAAGAGAAAGAGUUUUUAAGAACAAAAUUUCACUUACAUAUAUUAUAAUAAAUGAAGAGAAAGUGAGAGGUUGAUACAUGACUUUUUAAGUACAAUUAUAUGUUAGAGGCAUGUAAAUCGAUUAUUUUUUCAUUAGAUAGUAAAACAUCGACUUUGCUAAAAUUUCUCAUAUUCAAAUAACAGAAAUAUGAAAUAAAAGUAAAGCAACUACUAAUGAAAAGAAAAUAAAAUAAAACAAAAAAAAUAUGUGAAAAUUGUAACGUCGUGCUACGCCCGGCCCCCUUUUCAGUAGAUGAGAUUAGGAUGAAAGGGCUUUCUUUCAUUAACAUGCAGUGAAGGUGCAUAGCUUCUUUGAAUGUCCUGCUGAUUGACUACUACAUUUAGGGACGAGACUGAUCCUGAAAGAGAGCUGUUCUGGCUUAUUAGGUUUCAAGAAUCCAAAGGAUACAAGCUUCUCAAGGCUGAGUCGGAAAGCUUUGUUUGUAGAGUCUCUUUCAGUUCAAGUCUUGAAUCAUUUGAUUAUUCUUUUUUCUAUUCCUUCUUGUUAUGCCAUUUUUAGCCUUCAUCUUUGUCUUUUCUUUUCUAUUCAUUAGUUUCCCUCUCAUAUUCUCCAUUCCAAGGAGAACGGAAUACGUCACUUCAGAAUACUUGCUCAAUUAUUUUUAUCCUCUCAGCAAAAUGAAAAAGUUUUUUUUUUGGUUUACAAAUUAUAGGCA
rnacentral:lncRNA from 1 species